GGUCUCUAAAUUGAUUGGUUAGAUCAAACCGGAGUUUAUUCCAUUCUUUCACCCUCCGCUUUCCUCCAUGCCUCCCAAUUCAAAGCAGGUUUCUAAAUUUUGAACCUUCAAUAUUACGUCGGUAAUUGAUUUUUCGCUGAGAUCAAUCAACCGCAAAUCCCAUUUUACGCAAUGUUUUUUGCAGCGAAAAUGCAGAUAUGAACACGAG